CUCUGCCUCGGCCUCGGCCUGUCCACCACAAAUAGCAGAACAGAAUCCUAGAUCACUCCUCCCUGUCUCCAUCGCCAGCACCUACUUGUGGAGUGAAAUCCAACGUCGCAGGAAGCGUUGCCCGAUGUUGUCUCUCCACUCAAAACCCUAAGUCCCAGCCCCAUGGAUCAUGUUCGUAGCCGCCUCUCUCCACAACUGCUGCCACGAUGUCGCCGCCUCCGGAGUCCCACUCAGUAUAGUGAGGCACUGCCGCUGCCCACGUCGACAACGAUGCCAUGACCAUAUACCCUGGAGCAAAGAGAUCUGCAAUACGAUGCAGUUCAUUGGGACUGUAGGCACCGGUGUCAACCUGCGGCAACUGCCAACUUCCCAGUCGCUCCUCUGUUGUGGGGAGUUGCUUUGCCGUAUGGAAGUCGAGAGUCGAUACUACAUGGUAUUGCUUAUUUUGAUUCGUGUUAGUCAAUUCAUUGAUUUCUAAUGUAUCUCGCAACAACAAAGAUGAUUG